rnacentral:rRNA from 1 species
UACGUAGGGCGCAAGCGUUGUCCGGAAUUAUUGGGCGUAAAGAGCUCGUAGGUGGUUUGUCGCGUCUGUCGUGAAAGCCCGGGGCUUAACUCCGGGUCUGCGGUGGAUACGGGCAGACUAGAGUGAUGUAGGGGAGACUGGAAUUCCUGGUGUAGCGGUGAAAUGCGCAGAUAUCAGGAGGAACACCGAUGGCGAAGGCAGGUCUCUGGGCAUUAACUGACGCUGAGGAGCGAAAGCCAGGGGAGCGAACGGG